AUGGAUGUAAAAAUAACUAACUUUUGUAUUUUUGAGGUUAAAAACCCACUUCCAACGAAUGAUGUAGAUGCAAAUUCUUGUACAUCUUCCGGUCGAGCAGAUGUAAAAUACAACACCUGGAGAUGCAAAUUUACAUCUCCACCUUCAGGAGAUGUAAAACUAGAGGUCGCGCACCAACCGCCCUUCAUUUCCUUUCCCCUCCUUCCUCUCCCCGCCUGCCGCACAGCCCUCGCCACCCCGUUUCGCCUGCAGCACUGCCGCCGCCACCCCACUCGUGCCAGAUCCGGUCGUCAACCAACCCGCGCGCCCCUCCGCCGCCGGUCUGCCGCUCUGCCGCUCUGCCUCGAAUCGCCGUCCCAAUUCCCCACUGCCGCCACCACAAUUUGUCACCCCCGCCGCCCCGACGCUCCUCGACCGCCGCCCCCACACACAACCAUCGUCGCACUGACGCUCCCCCGAUGCCGCCGUCCCAAAUCGCGUCGUGCUGUCGCUGCCCCUAUUCGCCCGCCGCCCAACCGCCACCACCCCGUCGUCGCCAUGCCACCGAAGAAGCUCCCGAAGAGCAAGACCGGGUUCUUCGGCAUGCGGGCGAAGCCAUCCAGCAACUUCAGCGUCGAGUUCUCUGAUGCCGACCGCCGCUUUUGGCUCGGCUGCUACACUACCGCGGACAAGGUCGCACGCGCCUACGACGUGGCAGUGUGGUGUGCCGGGAGGCCGAAGACGAACCUCUACUUCCUGGAGAUUGAGACCCGGGCGGAUGCGAAGUUCCUCGUGCUGGAGGGUAUUCAGAUUGAGGAGAUAACGAAGAAGACGAAGAAGAGGCCGGCCAUUGUAAGUUGCUCUCGGCGACAGCGACGAGGCGACGAUGGUGAGGUUCACACGGGAGCAACCGAAAUAUGUUUAGGCCGAGCAGGAGUACUUCUGGAAGCGUGA
rnacentral:rRNA from 1 species